rnacentral:rRNA from 1 species
UACGUAGGGCGCAAGCGUUAUUCGGAAUUACUGGGCGUAAAGCGUGCGCAGGCGGCUCUGCAAGACAGAUGUGAAAUCCCCGGGCUUAACCUGGGAACUGCAUUUGUGACUGCAUGGCUGGAGUGCGGCAGAGGGGGAUGGAAUUCCGCGUGUAGCAGUGAAAUGCGUAGAUAUGCGGAGGAACACCGAUGGCGAAGGCAAGCCCCUGGGCCUGCACUGACGCUCAUGCACGAAGGCGUGGGGAGCAAACAGG